UAGAUAAAUAUACAGUCUUGAGAAUCCCCAUGUAGAGAGAAAUGUUAUAUGAAGCAGUGUGCCAUAUUUAAUUUUAAUACUAGCGUAUGAGAUUAGCAGGGAUGAAAUUUACCUUGGGAAAGAGAGCUGACAAAGGUCACCCAAAAGGGGGAAAAAAUCUCUUUGAUUUUCAGAUUUUGCAUAGAAAAGAAUUCCUACGUUCCUUCUUCUCACUUCCCUCCCUGCCGUCUGGGAUCCCAAGCUCUCUCUUAAGCUCUUAAGAGGCUGAGAUUUGGGGCCUGUGGUCAUGCCAGAAGGGUAUGAUAAAAGCAGAGAGACCAUCUAGUUUGUGGCCGUCCUUACCAAGAUAUAGUCUGGCCUUCCUUAUAAAGAAACUGUAUAAAGCUCAAGAUGCUUUGCCCCUGACUGUGUCACUUGGGGGCAUAUUUUGAUCUCCAUUGCCUUGCUCUCAAUACAUGAGGUUUCUCUCUCAUUCCUAAUUUUUUUUUUUUUUUUUAAUAUAGUCUGUAUUCUGGGUUUGGUAGGCGUCCCCGUAGACUUUAAUAAAGUUUUCAAAUCUGAGACGCCAGAUUGGCUGGGGUGGUUGUUUUUCCUUGUUUCAGUUGAUAAUCAGCUCUAUUUAAUAUUUACUUGUCAUAGUUUUGAUUGAUCUUAAAAGGCACUGAAAACACAAGUCCUAUUACCAUCACAGUGGAAUCCAUUACAUAGACACCUUAUAUGCUUCUCCUGGUGGGGCAGGCCAGAGGCGAUUCUGGAAUGUGAUGGCACAGCACCACUGUUGAUCCAUACACAGCGGAGUAAAGUCCCACGGGUAAUUUACGAAUUCAGAUGGCUUUAGACUCUUUCCUCCCUUGUCACAGUGAGCUGGGAGCUUCUGCUUUCAGCCAUAGCUCAAGAUAAGUUUAACGUGCCUGCCUUGAGCUGCUCUGGUUUCUGGGUGAGGUACCUUGGGGAGGUUGGUGUGACGAGUGUUAACAGGUGAGCAUUUGAGCUUAUUAGAUUUUAUUCACAGUUUGCAAAUCCUUUCUCAUACCUAGAAAUGCAAGAGAACUGAUUUUACUUUUUAUGAAACAAAACAAAAACACGGCCGCAACAAAUCCACCUAUUUUUAGGCUGAGAAUUUUAUGUUGCUUCUGCCCACACAGCACCGAAAAAAUUUUCAUCCUAUUUAUACCCCAACUCCAAGAACAUUUCCAUCCUUACUUGCUUUUGGGAUUUGAAGUACAGUAGAUGUUUUUAGUAUAUGUCUGUAGUGUCGGAUAAAAAUGUAGUCAAGUUCCAGCUACGUGCCAGGCUCUGCGCUGUGCGUGCAACUCUCGUUUCAUUUAUUUUGAUAUUACUUAAUAUUAACAGUGGUUAAACAUUGAUCCUAGCAGUGGUUAAGCUACUGAGAGCUGCGUGGAGGGAGGCAGGUACCUAGCUGGGGAGAAGAGAGCCUCAGUCUGGCCCCUGCCCUCCAGCCUUCCCCUUGUGCCCUGGCCACAGGGUCUUUACCUGCAGGCUGAGCUCUGUCCCCAGCUGUGGAAACCAUGCUGAGGGGCUGGGAGAAGCCCUGGUUCAGGCAUUCAGCUAACUCGCCAUCAGAUUAGGUCAAAUUUUCUACUCCUUAUUUUCCAAUCUUCUACCAUGGUUCUAGUAGCCAGGCUUCUGCCCUAGUCCUAUAACCAAGCCACGAUGCCAGGCCCAGUUCUAGAAACCCACGUUUCUGCACAUCCUGCCCAUACCAGGCCUCCACGUGUGGCCUGGCUCCUGCCAGUACUUCUCUGCCAGAAGUGAGCUCACCUUUACUUCCUCCGCUUGCCUUCUUUCAAAGUCUUUAAGGAGCUAAGUGUUCAUGAGCACUUGAGGAAAAAUCACAUUUUGCUGAAUACCUGUUUGCACACUUCAAGCACUGGCUGCAAGGCACUGUGAUUCUUUGUUUUUAUAUCUGUCUCCUUCGAUAGACUAAGAGCUACUUGAGGGCAGUUACUGGGCCACUCCUUUCAUCCAUCCAUCCAUCCAUCCAUCCAUCCAUAUGUCCGUCUGUCCAUCUCUUCUCAGCAUUUAUUGAGCACCUGUCCUGUGUUUGGCACUAGGAAUCGAGUGAUCAGUAGGAGAUUAUUUUCCUUUCCCCUUUUUUCCUUUCCCCUUUGAGGCCUCAGCAUCUAGCACAAUGCCCUAACUAGUGGCGGGUCAAGAAAUGUGGGCUGAAUGAAUGCGUGAACAAUUUCCUCCUGAUGCAGUGAUCUGGCUUCUCAUACAGAUUUCCUCUAGUUGUCUAGAGCAGCUCCUUGGAGCUGGCUCUCUCUGCUGAGCGUGCCUAGUCUCCUGUCUCUGCCUCUUUUAAUCUUAUUUGUCCAAGGCUAACAGACUUCUGGAACUCUAUUCUGAUCCAAAUUUUGGUUUCAUCUCAACCAGUGGGUUGGAGGCAAUUGACAUCUUAGAAGGUGAUUUUGCUUUGGACUAGUGAACCCCUCCCUCUCCUUUUCCCUGUUGCCUUGGUGUUUUUAGAGAAUUUUGAGUGAUGAUGAGUGUUUAAUGCACAAUAAACACUAUUUAGUCAAUUUAUCCUUUUUUUCUUUUUCUUUUUUAACUCAUUGUAGACUAGUGAUUCUCAAAAAGUAUCAUUCCAGCAGCCUUGGUCCCUAAGACUCUAUCAAGAGGUCCAAGGAGCCAAACUGUUAUCAUCAUCAUAAUAAUGUGUUAUUUGCUAUUUUCACUCUUAUUCUCUCAUGACUCCAUAGUGGAGUUUUCCAGAGACUACAUGAUAGGAAUUUGCAAUAAAUGAAGUGCAGAAGUAGGUGUUGAGUAAACGUGUGAUUUUGAUUCUCUUCUGUUAAGCCAACAUGAAGAAAUUUGCAAAAUGAUAAUACCUUCUUCUCACUACAAUUUCUUUUUUGUUUUGGGAAUAGAGUUUUUUUAAAAAUUAAAAGUGUAUUACUUAUGUUAAUGUGAUGAGUUUAUCAUUAGUAUUUUUUGAUGAAUUAAAAAAUUCUCAUUUUGGAUGUGGUAAAUAUUAAUAGACAUACCAAUAGAGAGCACCAACUAAACAGAAGCUCUCUGGGGACCUCAGUAAUUUUUAAAAGUGUAAUGAAGGCUGAGACCAGAAUGUUUGACAACUGCUGAUGUAGAUUGAUGUAACCAUGUGUGCAGGCUUGGUAAUUACAGGGCCUAAGUUUACCCACUUCACCACUUAAAACCUGCUGGCUUUGCCACUAACUACUGUGUGACCUUGGGUAAGUUACUGUCCCUUUGGCUUUUAGUUUUUUAACUGGCAAAAUGAGGGUAAUAGCACUCGCUGCCUAACUCACAGACUUGUUGAGAGAAUUAAAUGAGAUAAUACAUGCUAGAUACUUUAAAUAGGACAUGGCACAGAGUUAGUUAUUAACUCAUGGCAGUGAUUUAAAUAUAAUGUGUAUUUAUUUUAGAAAACUUAGAGACUGUGGAAAACUAUUGGGAAAAAAUAAAAGUCACCCAUGCUCUAACUACUCAGAAAAGGCCUUUGUUUAUUUUUUGGUGUCUCCCCCGCAUCCCAUUCAUGUGUUUGUGUGUCUGCGCAUCUUACACAAAAUUCUGUGCCCUACAUAGUGUAAUAUAUUCUCAGCAAUCCAUCAUAUAGUCUUGUGAAACAUGCUUUUCAUGGCUCUAUUAUGUUACUUAUGUUUCAUCAUAUAGUCAAUAUAUGCCAUAAUAAAUUUAACCCUUCUCCUUUUAGACUGGGUCCAAUUUUUCAUCGUUACAAAUAGUGCAUAAUUAACACUCCUGUACAUAAAUCUCUGUCUGUAUCUGUGAUUAUGUAUUAGGAUAAAUUGGCAAAAAGUGUAUUUAUUGGGCAGAAGCUCUUUAUGAAUGUUUCCAGGUUGCUAUUUGGAAAGUUUGUAUCCAUUAUACUUUUUUGCAGUAGUGUAUGAGAGUGCCCAUUCUAUGGCAUGCACAUUAGUCAGCACUUAAAAAUUUUGGGAGUUCCUGUCAUGGCUCAGCGGUAAUGAACCUGACUAGUAUCCAUGAGGAUGCAGGUUUGAUCUCUGGCCUCGUUCAGUGGGUUAAGGAUCUGGCGCUUUAGUGUAGGUUGGAUCUGGCGUGGCUGUGGCUGUGGCGUAAGCCAGCAGCUGCAGCUCAGUUCAACCCCUAGCAUGGGAACUUCCACAUACCUCAAAUGUAGCUCUAAAAAGGCAAAAAGAAAAAAAGUUAUUAUUAUUUUUGUCUUUUUUUUAAGGGCCAUACACAUGGCAUAUGGAAGUUCCCAAGCCAGGAGUUAAAUUGGAGCUAUAGCCACAGCCACAGCCACAGCAAGGUGGGAUCCAAGCUGAGUCUGUGACCUACACCACAGCUCACUGCAACGCCAGAUCCUUAACCCACUGAGCGAGGCCAGGGAUAGAACCCGAAACCUCAUGGUUCCUAGUCGGAUUCAUUUCCGCUUCACCAUGAUGGGAACUCCAGAAUGGUUUCUUUAUCAUUUAUUAACUUCAGAUGUAUACAAGGUCUGUUUCAGGGCUUCCCACUUUCAAUCUGUGGAUCUGCAGAGUGGUUUUUGUGCCAGGAUCAUGCUGCUUUAGUUGUUUCAUAAGGUGUUUUAAUAUCUGGCAGAGCAAAAUUCAUAGCACUUUUCUUUAAAACCUACCCAGCCAUUAAACAUGUUUUCUUGUUCCAGAUAUGUUUUCUGAAUCUUUUUUUUGGGGGGGGGGCAAGUCUCCCUUUCUCUCAUUCCUUGCAUCCCACUGACCUUUUUGGUUUUGAUUCUGAUUGAGGUAAAAUUUGAUUUCAGAAUUAACAUCUUUAGUCUUCUCCUGAGGAACAGGCUAUCACAUGACUCAUUCAGCUCUUCUUUUAUGUCUAUCAGGGAAGUUUUGGAUGCUCUUCACACAAAUAUCACAUUUAUUGCCAAGAUUAUUUCUAGGAUUCUUCUGUGAGUGAGCCUUCCUUUCCUUUAGAACCUCUGGUUAUUGCUCAUAUACACAAAAGCUAUUGAUUAUUGUAUAUUUAUCUUAUAUUAGGAAUCUUGAAUAGUGUUGUUAAGUUUCAGAGUUUAUAGGAACUCUUUUUUAUGUAUAUAAUCAUGUUAUUUGCAAAUCACUGUAAUUUACUUAAUAUAUUCAUAUAUAAUAAAAAAUAAAAUCUGUAGCAUGUUAUAUACCAUGUUAUACAAAAUAUUAUCUAUUAUCUAUUUUUUGUUUCAUGUCUUAUUGGUUAAUUAGAAUUUAUAGGCAGAAUGUUAAACAGUCGUAGAAGGACUUCCUAUUGUGGCUCAGCAGAUUAUGGAUCCUACUAGUAUCCAGGAGGCUGUGGUUUGAUACCUGGCCUCACUCAGUGGGUUAAGAACCUGGCAUUGCUCCAAGCUGUGGUGUAGGUGUAGCUACAGAAAAGGCUUGGAUCUGGCAUUGCCGUGGCUGUGGUGUAGGCCAGCAGCUGGAGCUCUGUUUUGACCCCUAGCCUGGGAACUUCCAUUUGCUGCAUGUUCAGC
rnacentral:lncRNA from 1 species